rnacentral:rRNA from 1 species
AGCGAACGCUGGCGGCAGGCCUAACACAUGCAAGUCGAACGAAGUCUUCGGACUUAGUGGCGGGCGGGUGAGUAACACGUGGGAACGUGCCUUUAGGUUCGGAAUAACUCAGGGAAACUUGUGCUAAUACCGAAUGUGCCCUUCGGGGGAAAGAUUUAUCGCCUUUAGAGCGGCCCGCGUCUGAUUAGCUAGUUGGGGAGGUAAAGGCUCACCAAGGCGACGAUCAGUAGCUGGUCUGAGAGGAUGAUCAGCCACAUUGGGACUGAGACACGGCCCAAACUCCUACGGGAGGCAGCAGUGGGGAAUCUUGCGCAAUGGGCGAAAGCCUGACGCAGCCAUGCCGCGUGAAUGAUGAAGGUCUUAGGAUUGUAAAAUUCUUUCACCGGGGACGAUAAUGACGGUACCCGGAGAAGAAGCCCCGGCUAACUUCGUGCCAGCCGCCGCGGUAAAAC